rnacentral:tRNA from 1 species
GGCCUAGGUAGUGCUAAAUUGCAAGUUUGGUUUUGAAAAAUGAGUAUUUUUCGUAGGCCUA